AAUGUAAAAGUCUAGCUUGUUGGGCUUAUACCAAAACAACUUGUAUUAGCGUUAAUGGGCUUUCCAUUUGACCUGAAUCACAAAGCCAGAAAAAAAAAAUCCCGGAACGCAUCUUCUUCUUCUUCUCUUUCAAAGAUCAAGAGAUCGCUUCAUACAGUUCCAUCUUCCAAGAUUUUCCUCGGCAGUUAUACAGUUUGUUUAGGGAAAACAUGGCCGGAGAAGGUGAAGAGGAUGUACCUAGAGAUGCUAAGAUUGUGAAAUCUCUGCUUAAGUCGAUGGGUGUGGAGGACUACGAGUGAUGGAACCCGGGUCAUGACCGUACCGCGGUGAGAACCGGUACAUUGGUACCAUCGUCUAGCAGCUCGCGUAGGAGCAUAAAAGUCGGUCCAGAACAUCAACGCGGCAUCAACCAGUCCCCAAGGAUCAUCUAGGAGGAGCAAGACAACGUCAUCUAAUGAGCAAUACAAGGCCAAGCUCCAACCUUACACCAAUGGCUCAUGGCUAGCAUCACCAAUGAAGAGCCUUGGGUGCGACCAGCUUUGGGAAGCUUGAUUUGUGUGUCUUCACCAUCACGCUAGCGUGAAGACACCCCUAAGUCAUUAGAAGGAGCUGUACUCUUUUUCCUACUUCGGGUUUGUCCCAAUGGGUUUACCGAAGGGGUUUUAACGAGGCAGCGAGCUCUAGUGCAUCUCCACUUCGUUCCCGCUUGGCUCAUGACUUGGAAACUUUCAUUAACAAGAUUAUGGGCCAAGGAAGUGAAGAUCCUAUCAGCCACGUCCCACCAAUGACGUGGCAACCCUAUCUCCUUCCUUCCUUUCCUUUAUUUUCUUUGAACUCUCUUAUGACCGUUGGAUGGUCUUUGUUCCCUUUUUGCUUUUGCUUUUACUUUAUGGCCAAGUGUAUGGUUCAGAUCAUGGCCGCGCGUCUAGGGUUUUAGUGUCCCCCUUAUGUAAGCUUGCCUAUAUAAAGGCCUAAACCCUCAUUGUAAAAACAAGGAAAGACUGGAAUAUAGAAAUUAUUGGCCCAAAGAUUGGAUCUUUGUUCAUUCCUCUCUCCCGCUCAAGUCCGGGACUUGGCUCUAGAGAAACCCUAGAAGGUUCAAGAACCGGGUUCAUGACCUUCUAGUCCGACCGUAUCACGGGCCGAGCCAUCUCCCGUGUGUCGUCGACUCAAUCCACCGUCCAUUCAUCCCCAUCUAUCCGAGAGACAAACGAGUCGAGCAUCUCCUCGCGAAUCUCUCUCCGUCCGUUCUUGUCGUUCCUUGGUCCCGUUUCCUUCCGUACAUCGCUCCAUCCGCGGCGUCCAUCCGUACGCAGCGUCUGUUCCCAUCCGCGCUCCAUCCGCUCACUCGUCCAUCCGACGCGUCCGUACGUCCGUUUAUCCGCCGCGUCCGACCAUCCGUCCGUACGUCCGUACGCAGCGUCCGUUUCCAUCCGUUUCCUAACUAGAGCCGAACGAGUCGAGUAUCUCCUUGUGACGCUCUAGUCCAUCCGCGUUCCAUCCGCUCACUCGUCCAUCCGACGCGUCCGUACGUCCAUUUAUCCGCCGCAUCCGACCAUCCGUCCGUACGUCCGCUGUUCCACGUCCAUUCGCGUCCAUUCUCGUCCCUAACCGAACCGCUUCUCCGAUCCGCUCCGCUAUAUCCUCUGUCCGUACGUCCGUGAACCACGUGCGUAGUCCGGGGUCACAUCAACGAGCCUCGUGUGAUACACCAGUUUCUGGAGCUAUGGUACCGGUAUGUGGUGGAAGUGUUGACAGAUGCUCAGGUAUACUCAGAGCAUGCUAGCAAAUCCAACAUUGACUAUGAUGAUGUGAAGCUCGUUAUUCAGUCCAAAGUUAAUUUCAGCUUCUCACAGCCACCUCCAAGAGAGGUUCUGCUAGAGCUUGCUGCAAGUAGGAACAAGAUCCCUUUGCCAAAAUCGAUAGCAGGACCGGGUGUUCCUCUCCCACCUGAACAGGACACAUUGCUGAGCCCAAACUACCAGCUUGUGAUACCAAGGAAGUCAGCUUCCACAGAACCUGAAGAAACUGAGGAUGAUGAAGAAAUGACAGAUCCUGCACAGUCCUCGCAAGAACAGCAGCAACAACAAACAUCAGAUCUCCCAGGUCAAACUCCCCAACGAGUCUCUUUCCCUCUCUCUAGAAGACCCAAUAAGUAGAUACACAAAAAGUUUAUUAUGUUAUGUAUCAAAAUGUAGUAGCAGAAUUAUUAUUAAUGACCAUAUGUGGUAUCAAAGGAGUAGAAUGUAAGAGAAUCAUAUAUUAA